AUUGAACGCUGGCGGCAGGCCUAACACAUGCAAGUCGAACGAGUGGCGGACGGGUGAGUAAUGUCUGGGAAACUGCCUGAUGGAGGGGGAUAACUACUGGAAACGGUAGCUAAUACCGCAUACCAUCGGAUGUGCCCAGAUGGGAUUAGCUAGUAGGUGGGGUAAAGGCUCACCUAGGAGACGAUCCCUAGCUGGUCUGAGAGGAUGACCAGCCACAAUGGAACUAAGACACGGUGCAUACGCCUACGGUAGGCAGCAGUGGGGAAUAUUGCACAAGGGGCGCAAGCCUGAUGCUGCCAUGCCGCGUGUAUGAAGAAGGACUUCGGGUUGUAAAGUACUUUCAGCGGGGAGGCGUUACCCGCAGAAGAAGCACCGGCUAACUCCGUGCCAGCAGCCGCGGUAAUUC
rnacentral:rRNA from 1 species